UACGUAGGGGGCAAGCGUUGUCCGGAUUUAUUGGGCGUAAAGAGCUCGUAGGCGGUUCAGUAAGUCGGCUGUGAAAUCUCCACGCUCAACGUGGAGGGGUCAGUCGAAACUGCUGUGACUAGAGUCCGGUAGGGGAGCGUGGAAUUCCUGGUGUAGCGGUGAAAUGCGCAGAUAUCAGGAGGAACACCAGCGGCGAAGGCGGCGCUCUGGGCCGGAACUGACGCUGAGGAGCGAAAGCGUGGGGAGCAAACAGG
rnacentral:rRNA from 1 species